CCUACGGGGGGCUGCAGUGGGGAAUAUUGGGCAAUGGGCGCAAGCCUGACCCAGCAACGCCGCGUGAAGGAAGAAGGCUUUCGGGUUGUAAACUUCUUUUCUCAGGGACGAAGCAAGUGACGGUACCUUAGGAAUAAGCCACGGCUAACUACGUGCCAGCAGCCGCGGUACUACGUAGGGGGCAAGCGUUAUCCGGAUUUACUGGGUGUAAGGGGCGUGUAGGCGGGGACGCAAGUCAGAUGUGAAAACCACGGGCUCAACCUGUGACCUGCAUUUGAAACUGUGUUUCUUGAGUACAGGAGAGGCAGACGGAAUUCCUAGUGUAGCGGUGAAAUGCGUAGAUAUUAGGAGGAACACCAGUGGCGAAGGCGGUCUGCUGGACAGUAACUGACGCUGAGGCGCGAAAGCGUGGGGAGCAAACAGGAUUAGAUACCCUUGUAGUC
rnacentral:rRNA from 1 species